CAGCAGCCGCGGUAAUGCGGAGGGUGCAAGCGUUACUCGGAAUUACUGGGCGUAAAGCGUGCGUAGGCGGUUUGUUAAGUCUGUUGUGAAAUCCCCGGGCUCAACCUGGGAAUUGCAGUGGAUACUGGGUCACUAGAGUGUGGUAGAGGAUAGUGGAAUUUCCGGUGUAGCAGUGAAAUGCGUAGAGAUCGGAAGGAACAUCUGUGGCGAAGGCGACUAUCUGGGCCAACACUGACACUGAGGCACGAAAGCGUGGGGAGCAAACAGGAUUAGAUACCCGAGUAGUCCCUGUCUCUUAUAC
rnacentral:rRNA from 1 species